rnacentral:rRNA from 1 species
UAGGGAAUCUUCCACAAUGGACGCAAGUCUGAUGGAGCAACGCCGCGUGAGUGAAGAAGGUUUUCGGACCGUAAAGCUCUGUUGUUGGUGAAGAAGGAUAGAGGUAGUAACUGGCCUUUAUUUGACGGUAAUCAACCAGAAAGUCACGGCUAACUACGUGCCAGCAGCCGCGGUAAUCGUAGGUGGCAAGCGUUGUCCGGAUUUAUUGGGCGUAAAGCGAGCGCAGGCGGAAGAAUAAGUCUGAUGUGAAAGCCCUCGGCUUAACCGAGGAAUUGCAUCGGAAACUGUUUUCUUGAGUGCAGAAGAGGAGAGUAGAGCUCCAUGUGUAGCGGUGGAAUGCGUAGAUAUAUGGAAGAAUACCAGUGGCGAAGGCGGCUCUCUGGUCUGCAACUGACGCUGAGGCUCGAAAGCAUGGGUAGCGAACAGGAUUAGAUACCCUGGUAGUCCAUGCCGUAAACGAUGAGUGCUAAGUGUUGGGAGGCUUCCGCCUCUCAGUGCUGCAGCUAACGCAUUAAGCACUCCGCCCCGGGGGAGUACGACCGCAAGGUU